ensembl:lncRNA
UGAAAAGACACCAACCCAAAAGGUUACCAUGAGGGUCAAUGCGACCAUCUCAGACUCCACUGAAAGCUACAAUGUUUGGUGGAGCUUCAAUGGUAAACGGAAGGGUAAUCUAUACAACACGUCUGAUGGAUAUGACCUAGUCUACACUUUCUCCGUUGACAUCAGUUGCCAAGAAAACCCUGUCUCACAAGAGGUUUCUGUCACCUUUGAGAACAUCGUGGGGCAAAAUAAAAGUGCAAAAGUGAUUAUCCCAGUGGUUUAUCUACUUCCUGAUGGGACUUGGGGCUACCGAGGAGGGAGCCGUCAAUAUAUUUUCCGGACUUAAGAACAGAUCUACAGUCGAUUCGGAUUCCCCUGACUCAAUCGCCGACAUUUAU